rnacentral:lncRNA from 1 species
AAGGUGUACCCCACCGUCGUCAAGCUGUCCCGCACCAUGGCCGACACCACCGUCUUCGCGCGCAUGAACGGCGACGAGAACGACAGCUGCAUGGAGUUCCUCCGCGACAUGGACGUCGUCGAGGUGCCCACCUUCCUCUUCAUCAAGGACGGCGACAUCGUCGGCCGCUACGUCGGCUCCGGGGGGGCGCUCAUCUCCGAGCACCGUGGCGAGGGCGGCAAGCUGGUGGUGCUCGACGUGGGCCUCAAGCGCUGCGGCCCCUGCGUGAAGGUGUACCCCACCGUCGUCAAGCUGUCCCGCACCAUGGCCGACACCACCGUCUUCGCGCGCAUGAACGGCGACGAGAACGACAGCUGCAUGGAGUUCCUCCGCGACAUGGACGUCGUCGAGGUGCCCACCUUCCUCUUCAUCAAGGACGGCGACAUCGUCGGCCGCUACGUCGGCUCCGGCAGAGGGGAGCUCGUCGGCGAGAUCCUCAGAUACAACGGCGUCAGGG